UUUCUGUAGGUGAACCUGCGGAAGGAUCAUUACAGAGUUCAUGCCCACACGGGUAGAUCUCCCACCCUUGAAUAUUUAUACCUUAGUUGCUUUGGCAGGCCGUGGAAACACCAUGGGCUCCGGCUUAUGCGUGCCUGCCAGAGGAAACAAACUCUGUUUUUAGUGAUGUCUGAGUACUAUAUAAUAGUUAAAACUUUCAACAACGGAUCUCUUGGUUCUG
rnacentral:misc_RNA from 1 species